AAAGUCGUAACAAGGUUUCCGUAGGUGAACCUGCGGAAGGAUCAUUACUGAUUUGGCGGACCGAGCGUCAGCGAGGUUCCGCGAUCACCUGUAUUUAAAACCCACACUUUUGAAUUAUAUGUAUAUUUUUGUAUUUUUGAUAAAAAAAAGAUCACUUUCAACAACGGAUCUCUUGGCUCUC
rnacentral:misc_RNA from 1 species